rnacentral:tRNA from 1 species
GUUAGGGUGGCAGAGCCCGGACGUGCAAAAGAUCUAAGACCUUUAAACAGAGGUUCAAAUCCUCUCCCUAACU